rnacentral:lncRNA from 7 species
ACAGGUCAACUGCAUUUAAACAACUGCUAGAUAAACCGCCCAUAACUUGAAAUGCUGGAUGAAAAACAUAUGUUGUACUUCCUCUACAAAGUUGUUCUAUAUCAUUUUUAACCAAGUUUUGGAUUGAAGAGGUGAAUUAUUGCACUGCAUACAACUACGGGCCACACACUCAGUGCUGCCACCCAUAAACACCUUACCUCAUAUUGAAGGACUGGUGACACAAGGCUGUACCCAACAUCAUGCAGGGCUGUGUGAUGACUGAUUCCAGUGAAUGAAAGGGAGCAGGUGUCAAGGAUGCUGAAGGAGGAGAAGGGAUGUGACAGCUGUCUGCAGCUCAGGAUGCAUUAAGUGAUGACUUGGGGGUCUGCGGUACAAUCUGGGACAGAGGAACCACGCAGAGAGCACAGAACACACAGGGCAGAAAGAUUGAAACAUGCUGAACCCUUGAAUAUCCCCCGUGACAAAAACACAAGUGAAAUAUUGUCACAACAUUUUAUGUAUUAGUUUGGACAGGAAGAAGAUGAUUUGUAAAGGGAUAUGUUUUCACAGGUAGCAUUACACACACACCCCACUUUCCCAAAUUGUUUUUAAUUGGCUUGCAAUCAGUUUUGUCUAGUCUCCCACCUGUCAGCCAUGAAGACCAACUUACUCCAUCAAAGUCCUGUAACUUUGUGAAGAACACAUUUCUGAGCAAGUCCUCUCCAUAACGUUACAUUUAUGUUGUGUGGCACCUCGAGCAAUGCUUUGUGCUUUCCCUGUUUCAGAGCUUUGUGAACAGAAUGUCUGGACCUGCACAUGUUCACCCUCCCACGAGUGCUGGCCUCUACUGCAAAUUCUUGUUGCUGUCUUGUCCUUGGGAAGAGCCUUAGAUAUACAGGCUUAUCAUAGUGAUUUAAACACAGCUACCUGCGGAUGUGAUGGAUUUCCUUUAUUUGCAGUCUCCCAGUCAAGACUAGAUGGAUAUCUAAGAGGCAUGUUGUAGCUCAAACAGAGAGAGGUGCUUGGUGCAGAAAUUAUAGGGUCAGAUUCAAAGGCUGGUGUUGUGUGGGAGGUCAGGCAAGGUGAGUGUGUACUUCCAACCACUGCAUCUACACUGUAAAUUUCAAAGCUGUCUGUAAAACUAGGAAAUGCAGAAGGAAUUUAAUGCAAAGCGUUUACCUUUCCUUUUGUCUGAGAUGUAACCCAACGUUUUGCCUUUCCACCACAUCAUUGUGAAAGGAAAUUAAUUUCCCUGCUCACUGAUUAUACUGGAACUAUUUAAAGCAAAUUCUCAGCUACCACAUACUUGAUCAUAGAAACUUUCUUAACCCCAAAGCUCUCUCGUUUCAACGCUUUCCUCCAACAAGAACUCCACCAGAAACAAAAAUAACUUCUCUUUCUAACCUUUCAACCCAGGACUCCCUACUCAGCUUUAAAUGCAAUCCCAAGGAAGAGAAUUUAUCUAUACUUUUUCUUCCUUUAGGCAGUUACUCACCUGUUUUCAUCUGGCCUUUCUUCAGCCUUGAGCCUGGAAGGAGCAGGUUCACACAGUGCUCAGAGUAUCAACAAAUGAAGGGGGGACUGCCUGCAGAGAAGUGUAGGCCUGAGUUUGUUAAAUCCUCAGAGAAAGGAUGGAGCAGAUAGAUAUAUGCAUAAGGCAGGCAGAAUUGAUAUUAUUUAUUCCUCUUUGGCAGAGUCUGGACAGAAGAGACAGUAGAAAGUACGUCCAUUUCAUCAGACUGGAUGUGUUCAAAGGUGAUAACAGAAGC